UACGGAGGGUGCGAGCGUUGUCCGGAAUCACUGGGCGUAAAGGGCGCGUAGGCGGCGCGGGCAGUCAACGGUGAAAGCUCGGGGCUCAACCCCGAGUCGGCCGUCGAUACUCCCGUGCUUGAGCACUGUAGAGGCAGAUGGAAUUCCGGGUGUAGCGGUGGAAUGCGUAGAGAUCCGGAAGAACACCGGUGGCGAAGGCGGUCUGCUGGGCAGUAGCUGACGCUGAUGCGCGACAGCGUGGGGAGCAAACAGG
rnacentral:rRNA from 1 species